rnacentral:tRNA from 1 species
GUAGCUCAGCUGGAUAGAGCACCGGCCUUCUAAGCCGAUGGUCGCAGGUUCGAAUCCUGCC